GCAUUAAUGGGGUAGUGGUAACCUGGGUCGUUGCCAUAUUAAAGAGGUAUCGGCGUUGAUAUUAAUGUCGACCCGCCGAGGGUUCAAUUCCCUCUUAAUGCA